rnacentral:rRNA from 1 species
ACUCAAAUGAAUAGACGGGGGCCCGCACAAGCGGCGGAGCGUGCUCUUUAAUUCGUCGCAACGCGAAGAACCUUACCAGGGUUUGACAUGGACCUGCAUGCCGGCGAAAGUCGGAGGCCUUCGAGGGUGGUCCACAGGUGCUGCAUGGCUGUCGUCAGCUCGUGUCGUGAGAUGUUGGGUUAAGUCCCGCAACGAGCGCAACCCUUGUGUCCAGUUGUGAUUUUCUGGACAGACUGCCGGGAGCAAACCGGAGGAAGGUAGGGAUGAUGUCAAGUCCGCAUGGCCCUUAUAUCCUGGGCGAGAAGCACGCUACAAUGGGCCGGACAGUGGGUUGCCAAGCGGUAACGUGGAGCUAAUCCCCCAAACCGGUUCUCAGUUCGGAUCGAGGGCUGCAACUCGCCCUCGUGAAGGUGGAGUCGCUAGUAACCGCAGGUCAGCAGUACUGCGGUGAAUAUGUUCCCGGGCCUUGCACACACCGCCCGU